rnacentral:rRNA from 1 species
UGGGGAAUAUUGGACAAUGGGCGCAAGCCUGAUCCAGCCAUGCCGCGUGAGUGAUGAAGGCCCUAGGGUUGUAAAGCUCUUUCACCGGUGAAGAUAAUGACGGUAACCGGAGAAGAAGCCCCGGCUAACUUCGUGCCAGCAGCCGCGGCAAUACGAAGGGGGCUAGCGUUGUUCGGAUUUACUGGGCGUAAAGCGCACGUAGGCGGACUUUUAAGUCAGGGGUGAAAUCCCGGGGCUCAACCCCGGAACUGCCUUUGAUACUGGAAGUCUUGAGUAUGGUAGAGGUGAGUGGAAUUCCGAGUGUAGAAGUGAAAUUCGUAGAUAUUCGGAGGAACACCAGUGGCGAAGGCGGCUCACUGGACCAUUACUGACGCUGAGGUGCGAAAGCGUGGGGAGCAAACAGG